AAACUUAAAGGAAUUGACGGGGACCCGCACAAGCGGUGGAUGAUGUGGUUUAAUUCGAUGCAACGCGAAAACCUUACCUACCCUUGACAUGCUAGGAAUCCCGCAGAGAUGUGGGAGUGCUCGAAAGAGAACCUGGACACAGGUGCUGCAUGGCCGUCGUCAGCUCGUGUCGUGAGAUGUUGGGUUAAGUCCCGCAACGAGCGCAACCCUUAUCAUUAGUUGCUACGCAAGGGCACUCUAAUGAGACUGCCGGUGACAAACCGGAGGAAGGUGGGGAUGACGUCAGGUCAUCAUGGCCCUUAUGGGUAGGGCUACACACGUCAUACAAUGGCCGGUACAGAGGGCUGCCAACCCGCGAGGGGGAGCUAAUCUCAGAAAACCGGUCGUAGUCCGGAUCGCAGUCUGCAACUCGACUGCGUGAAGUCGGAAUCGCUAGUAAUCGCGGAUCAGCUUGCCGCGGUGAAUACGUUCCCGGGUCUUGUACACACCGCCCGUCACACCAUGGGAGCGGGUUCUGCCAGAAGUAGUUAGCCUAACCGCAAGGGGGGCGAUUACCACGGCAGGGUUCGUGACUGGGGUGAAGUCGUAACAAGGUAGCCGUAUCGGAAGGUGCGGCUGGAUCACCUCCUUUCUG
rnacentral:rRNA from 1 species